AUUGAACGCUGGCGGCAUGCCUUACACAUGCAAGUCGAACGGCAGCACGGGAGCAAUCCUGGUGGCGAGUGGCGAACGGGUGAGUAAUAUAUCGGAACGUGCCCAGUCGUGGGGAUAACGUAGCGAAAGCUACGCUAAUACCGCAUACGUUCUAUGGAUGAAAGCGGGGGGAUCGCAAGACCUCGCGCGAUUGGAGCGGCCGAUAUCAGAUUAGGUAGUUGGUGAGGUAAAGGCUCACCAAGCCGACGAUCUGUAGCUGGUCUGAGAGGACGACCAGCCACACUGGGACUGAGACACGGCCCAGACUCCCUACGGGAGGCAGCAGUGGGGAAUUUUGGACAAUGGGCGCAAGCCUGAUCCAGCAAUGCCGCGUGCAGGAUGAAGGCCUUCGG
rnacentral:rRNA from 1 species